UUUGUUGUGAGCAGAAAGUAUUAACCUGCACUUUCUGCCAUAAUGGAAGCUACAGUUAUCUGGGGUUUAAUGAUUAUAAUCAGCAUUAAUGGAGUUCAGAGUGAGAUCAGAAUGGAUCAGUCGUCCCCUCAAGUGAAAAGACCUGGAGACACAGUCAGAAUGUCCUGUACCAUGUCUGGAUUUAACAUGGCAAGCUACUACAUUCACUGGAUACGCCAGAGGCCAGGACAAGCUCUGGAGUGGAUCGGGAGGAUGAAUGCAGGGUCUACUACCUACGCCAGCUCCUUUCAGAGUCGUUUCACUAUGACUGAAAAUGUUCCAAGCAGCACACAGUACCUGGAAAUCACAAGUCUCACAACUGGAGAUUCUGCUGUUUACUUCUGUGCUCGUGACCACAGUGUCUCAGAACAGUGGAGGAGCUGCAUAAAAACCCUGACAGACCACAGUAGUGAUGUGAUGAUCAGUUUACCAAUGUACCAUAACUCACAGUGUUCUGAAUAUUUAUUUAGCACUACUAAAUAGUUUAGUCUUGUGGCUCUGAAAUGUGAUAUGAAAAUGUGAAAAUAAAUAAA